GCCUUGAAAUCAAAAUUAUGUGGUAAUUGAUAAGGUGACAUGUGAUUAACAACUUUGGAAGAUAAUCUAUUUACAGUUUUUAAAAAAUUGUAAUCUAGUUUUUGUUUAUGUAGUAAUUGGGACAAGGUUUGAAGGCUUAUACUUAUAUCUUAAGUGCUAUCCAUUUCUAUAAACACAGCCUACAGAUUCCCAUAGAUUUCUGAUUUGCUGUCUUUCUGCUUUAUGCUUUCUUCGGCACUUUUAAUCAUCUUUCUUCUUAUCAACUACAAUUAAAAAUUAUAAUAUCAAAUCUCAGAUUCAUUAAUAAGACUUGCUGCUACCGAUUCCAAACUUUGGGGCCUUCUUAAUUAGUAAUAAUAGGAGUAUUUAUAAUAUCAAAUCUCAGAUUCAUCUUGCUUGCAUUUGCAUAGUCUUGGCGCUUCUGAAAAUGAGGUAUUCGGAUGCUCUUUUGCUUCAAGAAUCAUCAUCAUUUCAAACUCCAAUUGUGAAGUGAAAUCUUGUCUCUUUUUCUUUCCCAUACAUUUAUAUUGUUCUGUAACCACCUGAGACUAAAACAAGAAAUAAUAAAGUACAAUAUCAUUGCUUCACGCUUUUUGUUUUUCUUAUAUUUGGAUAUAUAGCCUUGAUAGGAGCUACAUGUGUUUGUGAGAAACUGAAGGGAAUAUAAAGGUUUUCUUCCUCAUUGAUUUGAUUUUCUUUUUUUUUAUCCCUCAUUUGUAUACUAUAUAGUAUAUACCAUGAGUUGCCUAUAUUUUACUUGUCCCUUUUACAUGGAAACAUUGCAUUGCAAGUAGCACCAUGAAUGUGUACUUUUAUUUGUUAUGUUGUGCUUAACGGUAAUGUUUUACUUUUUACUCUCAAUUUUAAAAUGAUUCCAUUCACCUGCACAAAGCUCAUGUGUAUACCGUGUUUAAUGGAUCGCUAACUUUUAGCUGAAAAAAGUGUCACUGUCACAUGCUCAUUCUUGAAAUGCGUGUAAGUGUAACUAGAUCUUCCUUCAAGGGAGUUUUUGCACUUGCCUCUGCUUCAAAUCGAACAAAAUAUUUACCUUGAGAACCCAUUUCUGCUAUUUCCUAUAAAGAAAUCCAUAGUUUUGUUUGAUUUAUUAGCACUCAACCAUUCCACUUUUUUUAAUGUUUAUAGUUUAUGACUUCAAAUCAAUAUACCAUUAUGCAGAUAUAGAAAAACUUUAAGGGACGAUGAACAAAGAUUUUAACAGGGUCGCUAUUCUAUAGCAUCUGCAGUUCUGCUCUUAAAGGUGAUAGCCGUAGCAGUAGCAAUUGGUGUUGAAAUACAUGCAAUUUUUCAUCUUUCUUGCGACUUCCUUCGCCUCCUUCGUGCAAGCCCUCAAAAGUACAAGCCACACCUUGGUUCAGGAGAAACAGGAUUAAGCUUCCUAAACCACUCAACAGUCUAACUGGCUUCAAUGCAUUUUGGUACUCACAUCAUCUCUUUGUCAUUGUCUAUGCCUCGUUGAUUGUUCAUGGAAUCAAACUUUUCUUUACCAAAGAGUGGUACGAGAAAACGGGGUCUGAUUUAGAUAGUUUAUUAGAGUAGAAUAAUGUAACAUCUUCAGCCAAAACAAUUGUUGGCUCAACACCUCUGAAGCAGAAUCAGCAGAAU